ACUAAGAUAGCAAAGAGUAAAUGCAAAAGAUUUAGGAUCUUUUAUCAAAGGUUCAAGUCCUUUUUUUAGUU
rnacentral:tRNA from 1 species